rnacentral:rRNA from 1 species
AGAAUCAACGCUGGCGGCGUGCCUAACACAUGCAAGUCGAACGAGAAAGUGGAGCAAUCCAUGAGUAAAGUGGCGCACGGGUGAGUAACACGUGACUAACCUACCCUUGAGUGGGGAAUAACUUCGGGAAACCGAGGCUAAUACCGCAUAACACCUACGGGUCAAAGGAGCAAUUCGCUUAAGGAGGGGGUCGCGGCAGAUUAGUUAGUUGGCGGGGUAAUGGCCCACCAAGACAGUGAUCUGUAUCCGGCCUGAGAGGGCGCACGGACACACUGGAACUGAAACACGGUCCAGACUCCUACGGGAGGCAGCAGUGGGGAAUUUUGCGCAAUGGGGGAAACCCUGACGCAGCAACGCCGCGUGGAGGAUGAAGUCUCUUGGGACGUAAACUCCUUUCGAUCGGGACGAUAAUGACGGUACCGGAAGAAGAAGCCCGGCUAACUCGCGCCAGCAGCCGC